rnacentral:rRNA from 1 species
GACGAACCGUGCUAACGUUGUUCGGAAUCACUGGGCGUAAAGCGCACGUAGGCGGAUGUGUCAGUCAGGGGUGAAAUCCCGGAGCUCAACUUCGGAACUGCCUUUGAUACAGCACGUCUUGAGUCCGAUAGAGGUGGGUGGAAUUCCUAGUGUAGAGGUGAAAUUCGUAGAUAUUAGGAAGAACACCGGUGGCGAAGGCGGCCCACUGGAUCGGUACUGACGCUGAGGUGCGAAAGCGUGGGGAGCAAACAGG